rnacentral:rRNA from 1 species
UACGUAGGGGGCAAGCGUUGUCCGGAAUUAUUGGGCGUAAAGAGCUCGUAGGUGGUUCGGUAAGUCAGGUGUGAAACCUCCAGGCUCAACCUGGAGACGCCACUUGAUACUGCUGUGACUGGAGUCCGGUAGGGGAGCGUGGAAUUCCUGGUGUAGCGGUGAAAUGCGCAGAUAUCAGGAGGAACACCAGCGGCGAAGGCGGCGCUCUGGGCCGGUACUGACACUGAGGAGCGAAAGCGUGGGUAGCAAACAGG